CGCCCCGCAAGGGGAGUGGCAGACGGGUGAGUAACGCGUGGGAACAUACCCUUUCCUGCGGAAUAGCUCUGGGAAACUGGAAUUAAUACCGCAUACGCCCUACGGGGGAAAGAUUUAUCGGGGAAGGAUUGGCCCGCGUUGGAUUAGCUAGUUGGUGGGGUAAAGGCCUACCAAGGCGACGAUCCAUAGCUGGUCUGAGAGGAUGAUCAGCCACAUUGGGACUGAGACACGGCCCAAACUCCUACGGGAGGCAGCAGUGGGGAAUAUUGGACAAUGGGCGCAAGCCUGAUCCAGCCAUGCCGCGUGAGUGAUG
rnacentral:rRNA from 1 species